rnacentral:rRNA from 1 species
GAUGAACGCUGGCGGCGUGCCUAAUACAUGCAAGUCGAGCGAACAGACGAGGAGCUUGCUCCUCUGACGUUAGCGGCGGACGGGUGAGUAACACGUGGAUAACCUACCUAUAAGACUGGGAUAACUUCGGGAAACCGGAGCUAAUACCGGAUAAUAUAUUGAACCGCAUGGUUCAAUAGUGAAAGACGGUUUUGCUGUCACUUAUAGAUGGAUCCGCGCUGCAUUAGCUAGUUGGUAAGGUAACGGCUUACCAAGGCGACGAUGCGUAGCCGACCUGAGAGGGUGAUCGGCCACACUGGAACUGAGACACGGUCCAGACUCCUACGGGAGGCAGCAGUAGGGAAUAUUGCGCAAUGGGCGAAAGCCUGACGGAGCAACGCCGCGUGAGUGAUGAAGGUCUUCGGAUCGUAAAGCUCUGUUAUUAGGGAAGAACAAAUGUGUAAGUAACUAUGCACGUCUUGACGGUACCUAAUCAGAAAGCCACGGCUAACUACGUG